UGUGUUGCGUACCUGACUUCCCACGAAUUUUUACUACUCCAGACUCACAUUAACACAAGCAAAUCUGAGUAGUUACGCGAACGAAGCUUCCCCAUUAGGGAAUUUUGAUAUUCGAUUUUACCACGUAGAAAAAGUCAUUGGGCUGUAUCAGUUUCAGGAAUUGCGAUAUCUAAUAAAAAUAGACGACUUUCAUCUGACUAUUUCUUAUUAAAAGGUUUUACGAUCGGAAUUUGCACAUCAUGGGGCUCUGAAAAGUGCCGUUUUGUGUGUGUGUGUGUGGGGGGGGGGGGGUGUUUAACUCAAGGAUGACCCCGUGGCUCGUCAGUUCCACAGUAUUUUGCGAAUCCAAACCUUUCUUGGGUGUGUGCGCGCGCGUGUAUGUGUGCGUGUAUGUAAGCGCGAGAGUGUGUAAGCGUGAGUCUAUGCGUGAGAGAGAGAGAGAGAGAGACGAGCCAAGGGGUCCUUAUCCUUGAGAUAUCGCAAUUCCUGAAACUGAUACAGCCCAAUGACUUUUUCUACGUGGUAAAAUCGAAUAUCAAAAUUCCCUAAUGGGAAAGCUUCGUUCGCGUAACUACUCAGAUUUGCUUGUGUUAAUGUGAGUCUGGAGUAGUAAAAAUUCGUGGGAAGUCAGG